ensembl:lncRNA
UGAAGGCAUGUAGCCGCAACGCAUAGAUGUACCUCUCAGAGUUUUAACAUGUAAAGCCAGUGAUGUAAUAAAGGCUUUUUAACUUUUCACUAUAAUUCGAGUGCCUUGGAGUUCUUGUCCUUAAAUACAUACUAUCCCAUACAACCAAAGAGCACCGAGAUUUCAUACCCCAUGCAGCACUUCUUGAUGCAUUCAGUGCUUUGAAGAAAUACAGUAAGUUGGAAAUUCUCUAAGAGACAAUGAUUGUUUGACUACACCACUGCCUGAGUUUGUUUUUUGUCUGUCCUCACUCAGCGUUUCCUUUAGAUACAGUGUAUAUGAUAUCGCCGUUGGGGAGAGGAUAGAGGUUACCUCCAUGGACUGAACUACCCAGUAGUGUUUGUUUUCUGAGUCGGAUCUGUGUCCAUCAGCGGUCAACUCCCACAGAGAGAGCUCUGGGUCCCAGGCCACCCCUUUCCCCUGCCGCCUUUCUGCUUGGCUGCACUCCUUUGGUUUCUGCAAUGUUGAGAAGAUGCCAAAUCUACUUGCCAACCCUCGUCUUAUUCUGUGUGGUUAGUAACAUUGUCACAACUAAUGCUGGUGGUCAGUUGCAAAGGGAGUACUUUUUAAAGAAAACCGACUCAACAUUGAAAAUGUUCCAAUAAUUUACUUACCCUCAGACCAUCAAAGAUGUAUAUGACUGUAUUUUUGUCAUCAGAACACAGUUUUUUUUUUUUUUUUUUCAGAAGGAAAUCCAGGUUUUGCAGAUGCAUUAACUGGUGCCAUCGCAUUUACAGUGAAAACAAGAGAUAAAAGGUAGCAUUACAACAAUCCACACAUCUCCACUCAAUCAGGCAAUGUCUUCUGAUGUGAAGCUCUAUGUUUGUAUAUAAAGCAUUUCAAAAUUAAGACUAUUAUUGGUGGUAUCAAUAUUUUCCUGUUACUAAGAAUUCGUAUCACAAACUAAAAUGGAAGCAGCAAUAUCCAUUGAUACAAACUGUGAUGUAAGCAGUGCUUGGCCAGUGUUUAUUCUGUGGAUUUUAAUGUAAGAAGAGCAGAAAAAGUUUGUUUUCCUCGAGGAAUUUACUUAGUUAUGCAUGCAGGUAAUUUAACACAGUCCCAUUAAUAUUUUGUAUUUUG